GAGGAAAGUCCCUCUGAGCUACUGCUGGGUUGAGGUUUUUUGCAAUUUGCUAAAAACAAGUGGAUCAGCAGUUCAGAUGAGAACUCCUUAAAUCCCUAACUCUUCUAGUAUUUAUUUUCCUUUAUUUAAGUGGAUUUUCCCUUUUCACUUGAAUAAGGAGAGGAAACUGCCUGGGAUAGAGCAAAAAGACUCUCCUGAGCUAAGGAUGUUUGUAUCCAGGGCAGUCAUGCCACUUCCUACUACGUGAGAAAGACCAUGACGACUUUGAAGGACGGCCACCUUCUCUGUUGCCAAAAUGAUGGCAUCUGCCAGAACAUUCAGGUUUCCAGCCUGUGAUGCUCCAGCAGAUUCAUACAAUAAGAGACACAGUUCUGGAGACAACUAAGAGGAAAUUUAGGGGAAAAUAUCCCCAACUAUCAGCAAAAGAUCUCUGAACCGCUUCAGAGAUAUAAACCAUGCAUUCCAGAAGCAACAGCACCGAAAGCCCAACCAGACCAAAGCUGAGCCAGUCACGGCCAAAAGAUCACCCUAAGGAAGAGGCUGGUUGCAGUGGGAGAGCAAAUGUGCAAAGGUGGCAGAAAGAGAAGGACGAGGGAGCCCAAGCCAGUACAAUCCUAAGAAGCCCUAAGGCAGAGAAAAAACAAAGAAGUUCUUUCAAGAAAAGGGAAGAUCUCUCUCGCGAUGACUUGCUAUUUCUUCUUAGUGUCCUAGAGGGUGAAUUACAGGCCCAAGAUGAAGUUAUAGGAGUACUUAAGGCUGAAAAAAUUGACUUGGCUUUGCUUGAAGCACAAUACGGCUUUGUUACUCCCAAGAAGGUGUUAGAGGCACUCCAGCGAGAUGCUAUUCAAACAAAGGCUGAGCAAUGGCAAGAAGAUAUCUAUGAAAAGCCUAUGGGAGAGCUUGAUAAAGUUGUAGAGAAACAGAAAGAAACUCACAGACGAAUGCUGGAUCAACUUGUAAUGGUAGAAAAAUCACACAGACAGACUCUGUAUGAACUAGAGGAGGAGAAGAGGAAGCACAGCAAAUACAUGGAAAAAAGCGAUGAGUUUACAAACUUGCUGGAACAAGAAUGUGAAAGAUUGAAAAAGCUUCUUGAACAAGAAACAGUAUAUCAAGCAAAAAAAGAGAAGGAAAACAACAAGAAAAUAGCUAAACUGAAAGAAGAAUUAACUAAACUGAAAUCCUUUGCUUUAAUGGUGGUGGAUGAACAGCAAAGACUCACUGAGCAGUUGAAUCAACAAAGUAAAAAAAUUCAAGAAUUAACCACUUCUACAGAGCAAGCACAUGAGAAACUGGCUUUUGCUGAAGCAAAAAUUCAAGAAGAGAAACAGAGAGCCAGCAGGCUGGAGGCUGAACUUCAAGCCCAAAGCAGUAAGAUUUCCCAAGACCAAGAAGCAAUGAUGGCCAAACUAACCAACGAAGACAGUCAGAAUCGCCAGCUCCGGUUGAAAUUAACUGCUCUCAGCAGACAAAUUGAUGAGCUGGAAGAGACCAACAAAUCUCUACGAAAAGCAGAAGAAGAACUGCAAGACCUAAGGGAUAAGAUAAAUAAGGGAGAGUGUGGCAAUGCCACACUUAUGACUGAAGUAGAAGAACUACGGAAACGACUGCUGGAGAUGGAAGGAAAAGAUGAAGAGCUCAUAAAAAUGGAAGAUCAGUGCAGAGAGCUUAAUAAAAAAUUAGAAAAAGAAGCAUCACAGAGCAAGAACCUCAAAGGGGAAGUCGAUAAACUUAACAAAAGAAUUAUGGAGCUGGAGAAACUAGAAGACGCUUUCAACAAGAGUAAACAGGAAUGUUACUCCCUGAAAUGCAAUCUAGAAAGGGAAAAAAUGUUAACAAAGCAGCUGUCCCACGAGCUGGAUGGUUUAAAAGCUAGAGUUGGUGAGCUUGAAGCAAUUGAAAGUAAGUUAGAAAAAACUGAGUUUACACUCAAAGAAGAUUUGACAAAGCUGAAAAGCCUAACAGUGAUGCUUGUGGAUGAAAGAAAAACGAUGGGAGAAAAAAUAAAGCAAACAGAAGAAAAGCUUCAAGCUGCAACUUCUCAGCUUCAGGUGGAACAAAAUAAAGUGAUGUCAGUUACAGAAAAACUAAUUGAGGAAAGUAAAAAGGCACUGAAAUCAAAAUCCGAUGCAGAGGAAAAAAUGUCCAGUGUGACAAAAGAAAGAGAUGAACUGAAAAACAAACUCAAAGCAGAAGAGGAGAAAGGAAGUGAUCUUGUUUCCAAAGUGAAUAUUCUAAGAAAAAGACUCCAAUCACUGGAAGACAUUGAAAAAGAGUUUCUUAAAAGUAAACUUAAGGAUGGUACUAAAUCUAGCACCUCCUUGCAGCAGGAAAACAACAUAAUCAAAGAGCUUUCUCAAGAAGUUGAGAGGCUUAAGCAGAAGCUCAAAGAAAUGAAGGCCAUAGAGGAUGACCUUAUGAAAACUGAAGAUGAAUUUGAGUGUCUAGAACGAAAAUAUGUCAAUGAACGGGACAGAGCCAAGCUCCUAUCAGAGGAGCUGGAAGCUGUGAAAAUGGAAAUGGCUAGGUAUAAAUUAACAGAAAAGGCAGAGUCCAAUCAGGAGCAGCGCCUUUUUAAGAAGCUUAAAGAAGAGGAAGCUAAAUCCAGUCAUCUUUCCAGAGAAGUUGAUGCACUGAAAGAAAAAAUGCAUGAGUACAUGGAAACAGAAGACCUAAUCUGCCACCUCCGAGGUGAUCAUUCAGUCUUACAGAGGAAACUUCUCCAGCAAGAAAACAAGAACAGGGACUUAGCGAGAGAGAUGGAAAGCCUCAGGAAAGAGUUGGAGAGGUACAGAUCCUUCAGCAAGAACUUCAGGUCUGGUCACAAUGGAAGGAGAAUUUCUGAUGUGCAAGUUUUUUCUAAAGAAAUCCAAACAGAUCCAGCAGACAAUGAACCACCCGAUUACAAAACGCUCAUGCCUUUAGAGCGAGUCAUAAAUGGGCAGCUCUAUGAAGACAGUGAUAAUGAGGACAAAGGCAAUAAUGAGGAGGAACAAACAGUGUCUUUCAAAAGCAACUCAUCCACUGUCAAUGCCAUAAACAAAAAAUUAUGGAUCCCGUGGAUGAAGUCCAAAGAGAGCCAUCCUCAAAAUGGAAAGAUACAUACAAAGCAAAAUGGAAACUGUGCACAGACUGGAGAUCUAGUGCUAAGCCAUACACCUGGCCAACCUCUUCACAUAAAAGUAACUCCAGACCAUGGACAGAACACAGCAACCCUUGAAAUAACUAGUCCUACCACUGAAAGCCCUCACUCCUACAAAAGCACAGCGGUUAUACCCAACUGUGGCACUCCAAAGCAAAGAAUAACCAUUAUUCAAAACGCCUCCUUAACACCUGUAAAAUCGAAAGCAGGAGAAGGUUACGUGACUCCAGAGCACGUAAUUUCUCCUAUUACUAUGACUACUUUUGCAAGAUCUCAAACGCCUGAAUCGUGUGGUUCUUUAACUCCUGAAAGAACAAUGUCCCCUUUGGCUCUACCCGGCUCAAGUUCUCAGGAACAAACUCUCUCCCCGGAGCCUUUGGAAAUGGGAGCCAAGCACGCUGUUUUUAGAGUAUCCCCAGACAGGCAGUCAUCAUGGCAGUUUCAGAGAUCUAACAGUACAGGAUCAAGUGUCAUAACUACUGAGGAUAACAAAAUCCACAUUCAUUUAGGAAGUCCUUACGUCCAAGCUCUCACCAAUUCCAAGCCCAUCAGCCCUUGUAGUCCAGUGCAAGACAACAGAACUCCAGCACUAGCCAAUGGCCUACCCACUAAGCCCACCAAUAAAAUCACCAGCAGUAUUACUAUCACACCAACAGCCACUCCUCUUCCACGGCAAUCACAAAUUACAAUCACCAACGCCUUCCGUCGGUCAGCUCCAACUCGGAUCCCCAAACCAAAGCCUACCAGCACAACCAAAGCACCUGCCAAAAUUCCUGCUGGGCACCUCAACAAACCACUCCAAGACAGCGCUGCUGGAAAGAUACACAUUAUAAGGACUGUGUCUAAAACCUGCCUUCAAAGUGGAGGGAAAAGAGUGCAUUCCAACAGUCUAAAUGGCUCAACAGAUAAUUCCUGGGAAAACUCCUUUCACAUAGGUGUUUCUUUAAGAACUGCCAAAUCCUAACUCCUACAUAAAGCAAAAGCUGGUGGUGAUCACAAUGCCAUAGCCAGAACUGCAGUCCUUUUCCUGAAGCAAGGAAAGAUUCUGAUGCAUUCAGUUACCUGACUUUGCCCUUUUAUUUCAAAUCUAAAAGUUUAACUUAACCACUGAGACAGUACAACACGUUAGCACUGCUGCGUGACCAUUUUUGCAAAUGUGUAAGAAACCUAUGCUUCCCUCAACAGCUUCACAAGUUCUCUAGAAGUACUUAAGAAAAGGAAAAGUUUAGAAAGAUCACUCUACUGAAAAAUUAUUUCAGCUUGUGUUGCACAAGACACACCUGUGUCAAAAUGAAGACAUUAAAAAAUUACUUUUUCAUAAUAAAAAGAAAAGGUUUCCAAUUUUAUUCAUUAAAUCUGCAGCUGUCAAGUUCAAGACUCCAUGUCAUGUAUGUCCAGAUCCAAAUAGAGCUCACAGAAGCACACCACUAAAUAUUCUGCAACUUGCAAAAUUGAGUGUAUAUAAAUGUGAAGAAACACAGAUUUCAAACAGCAGCUGUCAACUUGGCAUGCUUACCAGAGAGAUCUUCAAAUACAUGACCAAAUUCAAUCAUAAGGGACAGCAACUCAUUGAUGAGCCAGAAAAAAAAAAAAGAUGCAAACCUCUCCAUAUACAGGUGCACCAACAGAUCUCAGCUCCAGUCAAGCACCAGCGCUCGCUCCCACUGAAUGCACGACAAGGAACAGUCUGCUUCUCAGUAGCUGCAAAUCACACAUUACAAAUUGAUGCUACCUGGCACCCUUUAUAGCCAGUCUACAGAAAGAAAAGAGAACCUGUGGCAAAAGAAAUCAAUUCCCACAACAGCAUCCUUUGCUUUGGAGCCCACAGAACACUGCCAAAUCAUCCUCCAUGGCCCCAUAUUACAUUUCUCCCCUAUCUGUACUGCUGCCAUACAAGAGUUUCUGUCUUUUGCUCCUCUCUUGUGAUGACAUGGUUCAUUUCUACCUGUGAGGAACACGGCCCACAUAGACUCUUACUUAAGGAUCUAAAACUGACAAACAGGGAUACUACACUUCUACGGGAUUAAGGGCGGUAAAGAAAGCAUGGAGAACGAAAGAGAAGGAGUGGUAACACAAAAGGAGGAAACUGGAAGAAUUUCUGACAAAUAGAGGUACAUCCCUCUCCCUCAAAUUGCUUGAGAGAUGUGGCAUGCUGGCUACAGGCAAGACACAGACAUUUAUAGUGCUGUGAGAAGUGCUCUGUUCAUGGAGAGAAGAAGAAAAACUUGGUGUCCUUCACCAGUACAAAACAAACUCCUCAUUAUUCCCUAUCCUCUCCCUUAUAACUCUGAAUGCAAUAUAAAAAUCCUACUAAAGACUGGACAGAGUUGUGACAUGAUCUGGAAAAAGGGAGGUCGGAGGGGCCAGAGAUUAGACAUCAACCAGCCGCCGAGAUUUUGCUCUACAAGCAAACCCGCCAUCGGUAGCAAGCAGGGGAAAGCAGACACGGGAGAAACAGCGAGUGAGAGUGGAAAACUUGCAGAAGAGCCGUCCCGCUUAAAGUCUGGGCGUUACCUACUGGAGCACAUCCCGAGUCAAGCCGUGGAAGUGAAACGGAGGAGUGUAAGGACUGGAAUUUAUCAUAAGGCGGCACUGUUACUCCGUGUAUAAACCGCUCCAAUGGUUCUUCUGAACUUCCAUCGAGAAAUACUGAUUGGUUUUCCCCCUUGAGGGUGCAGGAUAAAGGAUCUUGCAGACGCUCUAGAAGAAGGAGGCUGUGAUCUUGAAACUGUGAGAAACAUCAUUCAAGGAAGGCAAUUACCUGCUGAUCUGAGGGCCAAAGUCUGGAAG